CUUGAUUGCAUGGUGGGAAGAACGCAGUGUUCAAGAUGCAGUCUACCUGCUGUGUUAUAAACUGCAAUAUUCGUUCUCACGAUAUUAGUGGCAUAAAGCUUAAGAACGGAAAAUCCUUUUAUCGUUUUCCAGCGUGGAAAAAUAAUAAUACAAGCCAUGUUUCAGAGGUGACAAAAAGGCGACGAAUGGCAUGGAUAGCAGCAGUAAGGAGGCCCAAGAUUACCUUCGAUAACACUCCACCACACAUGAUGGUGUGUUCAAAGCAUUUUCACAAAGGCAAACCUGCCUAUGAAAUGUUGGAGUGUGAUCCUGACUGGGCCCCUUCUCUGUACCUCGGCCAUACUGAGGUCAAAGCUACGAACACAGACCGGUUCAAGCGGUUUAGGAGAAGAGCCACGAGGUCACAACAACACCAUCGCCAGGCACUGACUACACUGGUCCUGAGGCUGAGUUGGAAGCUCACAUGAAUCAACCCCCAUCGCCAGGCACUGACCACACUGGUCCUGAGGCUGAGUUGGAUAAUGCAGCACCUUUAUACCCAGACAACACUACACCUGCAACUGAGAUGGAAGGUCCCGUGAAUCCACCCCCAUCGCCGGGCACUGAUAUUAAAGAAAGUGUUACCCUUGUGGGUGCUACACUGAAAAUACCUGCCUUCACCAGGGGCCACAGACCAGGAAGUUAGCUCAUGUCAGGAUCCACGUGGAGCGAGUGAUCGGGUGUAUGCGCUCUAAGUUUAACAUAUUAAAUGACACAAUACUUCUGGGAUUUGGGGUGCCUUGAGAGGUGGAGGAUAAGACUUAGCUGGAUAUAAUUUUGGUUUGGGAGUGCUGUGCUUUGACCAAUAUGUGUCCAAGUAUUGUUGUGAAGCCGUCGUGUUAGAAUUAUACACCAUGCUCACAUCUAAUAUGUAAAUAUGUUUUUUUUUUUUUUUUUCAAAAGAUUUUGUAAUGUCACUUCUCACAUGUAAUGAUUUUUAGCCAUCUCUGUAAAUAAAAU